UACGUAGGGGGCAAGCGUUGUCCGGAAUCAUUGGGCGUAAAGCGCGUGUAGGCGGCCCGAUAAGUCCGCUGUGAAAGUCCAGGGCUCAACCCUGGAAUGCCGGUGGAUACUGUCGGGCUCGAGUCCGGAAGAGGCGAGUGGAAUUCCUGGUGUAGAGGUGAAAUUCGUAGAUAUCAGGAGGAACACCAGUGGCGAAGGCGGCUUGCUGGACACUAACUGACGCUGAGACGCGAAAGCGUGGGGAGCAAACAGG
rnacentral:rRNA from 1 species